rnacentral:rRNA from 1 species
AUGGCAGGACGAGAGGCGAACAAGGACGUUGGAGCGGAGCCGCAGCGGGCGGACGGGGACGGCGGAGAAAAGAAUCUGACAAGCUGCCAGCGUUUUGGUGUUUGUUAUGCAGUGGGGCUGGCAUUAGUUCUCGUUGUUGUUACCAGUGCGAUAGCCUUGGGUGUCUCGACCCGCGGCCGAGUGGAUCCUUAUUUCUCCGUCGAGAUUUCAGGCAUGGAAGGGCUCGAUCCGCUGCGUAGCCCGGUGGUCUUCCCGGAAUCGAACCUGACUCUCCGCGUGGACAAUAGGCGGCCGAUACGACAGUACUGCAGGGAGAAAAGCACGGUGACCAUAUCAUACAGUCAGGUGGACAUGGCGUGGGGCGAGCUGCCUGCCUUCUGCGUCGAGAGGCGAUCGGCGUCGGAGUUGAGCGUCCCGUUGUCACGCCCGCAGGUGCUCUUGCCUCGGCAGCUGCGCGACAGGAUGGCCUCCGACAUGCACGUCGGCAAACUAGAAUUAGGAGUCGAGAUCGAGCCCUCCCGUCCGCAAGAUGCCGAUCGGCCGUGCUACUUGUCCUGCAUUAUUAUGUCAGGGCACCUUGAUGAGCCACAACUAUGUAAACAGUUUUGCGUCUGA